UUGAUUGAUUCUAAUCCAAUGGCUAAAAUUAAUAUUUUAUCUAUUUUUAACCUUUUUUCUUAUUGGUUAAUUUUUUUGACAAGGAUCACACUUUUUAGCCUUUGAUUCUUUUUGAUCUGAAAGGCCUAAAUCAUUCUCCCUCUUUCUUUACUCCCAAUAGAUCUGAGAUCUACUAUUCUUCUAUCCUUUUUUUCUACGUUCUCAUUCUCUUUUUUUUUCUUCUUCUUCUUCUUCUUCUACGAUUUUUAAUUUGUCUCUAUACAUUCACUGAAACAACAAAGUAGAUCUGAUUUUUAUUUGAGUUUGGGUCCAAGAAGUGAAGAAAAAUAUUGGAGAGGAGGAUCGACGCCUAUAUUCAAUAGCCAUGGAAACUCUGUACGCUUCCUCUCAAGCUCCGUGGAGAAGAAGACCAGGAAGACGGCGAGCAAGCUCCGUGGAGAAGAAGACCACGAAGACGGCGAGCGACUAUGAAGGUGGCUGGAUGCAACGACGAGUACGCCUCAUCUCUGAAGCUUGACUCUCAAAUCCCACAGCGAAGAAGAAGAAUCAAGGCGGAUGUAAAGAGCAUAGAAGAGACAACGACGAAGGUG
rnacentral:lncRNA from 1 species